rnacentral:rRNA from 1 species
UCCUCCCUCUUUCUUCGCGCUUAACACAUGCAAGUCGAACGGAAAGGCCCUGCUUUUGUGGGGUGCUCGAGUGGCGAAAGGGUGAGUAACACGUGAGUAACCUGCCCUUGACUUUGGGAUAACUUCAGGAAACUGGGGCUAAUACCGGAUAGGAGCUCCUGCUGCAUGGUGGGGGUUGGAAAGUUUCGGCGGUUGGUGAUGGACUCGCGGCUUAUCAGCUUGUUGGUGGGGUAGUGGCUUACCAAGGCUUUGACGGGUAGCCGGCCUGAGAGGGUGACCGGCCACAUUGGGAAUGAGAUACGGCCCAGACUCCUACGGGAGGCAGCAGUGGGGAAUAUUGCACAAUGGGCGGAAGCCUGAUGCAGCAACGCCGCGUGCGGGAUGACGGCCUUCGGGUUGUAAACCGCUUUCGCCUGUGACGAAGCGUGAGUGACGGUAAUGGGUAAAGAAGCACCGGCUAACUACGUG